rnacentral:rRNA from 1 species
UACGUAGGGGGCGAGCGUUGUCCGGAUUUAUUGGGCGUAAAGAGCGUGUAGGCGGCCAAACAGGUCCACUGUGAAAACUCGAGGCUCAACCUCGAGAGGUCGGUGGAAACCGUCUGGCUAGAGUCCGGAAGAGGAGAGUGGAAUUCCCGGUGUAGCGGUGAAAUGCGCAGAUAUCGGGAAGAACACCCGUGGCGAAGGCGGCUCUCUGGGACGGUACUGACGCUGAGACGCGAAAGCGUGGGGAGCGAACAGG